UUGCGUAGAAGUAAAAAAGAGUAUUUAAUGUCAUAACCUAUAAUUAAUAAUGCUUUUAUUUUCGUUUUAAAAUCAAUUAAAUACUUCGUCGAAGUGUAAAUUAUUUUGUUACAUCUACAACAAAUGUUAUUAUAAAUGAUAAUGUUAAUAUAACUAUUAGUAUGCAUUUUAAUGUUAUGUCUUUUAUAACGAUUUAAAAAUAUUGUUCCUAGAACGAAACGGUUAUAACGUUCUAAAAAGGCAUAACAAGUACAAACCCAGUUAAGUUACCGCACUCGUACUAUUAUAAUUUUCAUUUGUAUCAAUAUUUAUUACCUAGUUUUUAAAAAAAUUAUGUAAAUUUUGAGUUUUUAAUCUCUGAUUUCCAUUAACGUAAAAUGAAUUGAAGACAUGUUUUUAUUUUAUUACACCUAUGAUAGUAAUUUAAGAACCAACUUGAGCUGUAAUUAUUAUUGUAAAUGAUAAACAAUAGCUUCACACAUACUGUACAGCGCAUAAUUGCUUGUAAACAAGUAAACCGACUUAAUGUAACGCAAUUACCUUUGUUCAAAAAUAUAUACAUGUUUAUAAUUUAAUUUGUCACACACAUUAAAUGUUCAUAAUAUUAAAGAAUAGUAUUAUAAUUUACCUUUUAAGUCCAUGGAAAACUUCGUUUAGUGACAUAUUCUAUUACCACUAUAGUAUACAGGUAAAAUAUUUUAUGAUAUAUUAUUAUUGUUCGAUUAUUUGUUAUAACUAAAUAAAAAAUAAAAUGUUUAACAUGAAAUAUAUUUGGCUUUUAACCGUUUUGAUUUCAGUGUUUUAUACAUUACAAAGAGUUAAUGGAAGUGAACAAGAAAAACCGAAAGAAAACGAUCAAAAGGAACAUAAUAUCGUUCAAGGAAAUGAAAACAACACGGGUAAUAUAGAACAUCAUGGAGAGUCAGCAAAUAAACAUUCUUUACUAAACGGCGGACUUUUAACUAGGACCAUAGAUGUAAUGAAACGGAUGGUACAUAACACAAAGUUGGCAGUGGAAAAAAUUAUGCAUUGUAUCUUGUAAUAUUAUAACUUGUACAAAGAACAUUGAUAGUACAAUACAAUUAUUAAUCGAAUAAAAGCAAUAUACAUUUUAUGUA